rnacentral:rRNA from 1 species
AUUGAACGCUGGCGGCAGGCCUAACACAUGCAAGUCGAACGAGUGGCGGACGGGUGAGUAAUAUCUGGGAAACUGCCCGAUGGAGGGGGAUAACUUCUGGAAAAGGUAGCUAAUACCGCAUACUAUCGGAUGUGCCCCGAUGGGCUUAGCUUGUAGGUGAGGUAACGGCUCACCUAGGCGACGAUCCCUCGCUGGUCUGAGAGGAUGACCAGCCAAACUGGAACUGAGACACGGUGAAGACUCCUACGGGAGGCAGCAGUGGGGAAUAUUGCACAAUGGGCGAAAGCCUGAUGGAGCCAUGCCGCGGGAAUGAAGAAGGCCUUCGGGUUGUAAAAUACUGUCAGCGGGGAGGCGGGACCCACAGAGAAAGCACCGGCUAACUCCGUGCCAGCAGCCGCGGUAAUAC